UACGUAGGGUGCGAGCGUUGUCCGGAAUUAUUGGGCGUAAAGAGCUCGUAGGCGGUUUGUCGCGUCUGCCGUGAAAGUCCGGGGCUCAACCUCGGGUCUGCAGUCGAUACGAGCAAACUAGAGUGUUGCAGGGGGAGACUGGAAUUCCUGGUGUAGCGGUGAAAUGCGUAGAGAUCCGGAGGAACACCAGUGGCGAAGGCGACACGCUGGGCCGUACCUGACACUGAGGCGCGAUAGCAUGGGGAGCAAACAGG
rnacentral:rRNA from 1 species